CCCGGGAGUGUUGCUGUGGCUAUGAAUCGGAUGGUUUCCGUGAUGACUGUGGUGGCGUCGGAGGUGGAAAACACGGUCGGAACCGGAAGGGUCGAGGGCGAGAGGUAACUCGGUGCUAGGCCGGCCAACGCGCGACCGUCUCUGGUAAAACAGCUCCGACGCGCUCGUCAUACACCGCCGGCGAAUCUCAGUUCCCCGUCAGAUCGAGACCAAAUAGAA
rnacentral:lncRNA from 1 species